CCUGACACAAUCACAGUUCGCGCCAAGCAACUCAGCUGAAAGUGCGUAGUAAACAGAUCUGACAGCAAUCAAUACGAGAAUUACACCAUACAGUUGAAUAUGGACAUCCGGCGGUUCUUUGCUCCGAGCAAAGCCGCAGUUCACCAAGCAGGCCCAAAUUUGAGCGCGCUCACAAACGAUGUCAAAAAGAAGAAAAUUAAAUCGGUGUCUCCAGAGGAAGACGUGAAGAAAAAGAAAAACAUCACCAAGAGAACCAGUCUCAAGGCAGAGAAGACACAGCUCUGUGACA